rnacentral:tRNA from 1 species
UUCCUUGUGUCUUAGCUGGUAAAGAAUCUGCCUACAAUGUGGGAGAUCUAGGUUCGAUCCCUGGGUAGGGAA